CCUACGGGGGGCAGCAGUGGGGAAUAUUGGACAAUGGGGGCAACCCUGAUCCAGCCAUGCCGCGUGUGUGAAGAAGGCCCUCGGGUUGUAAAGCACUUUCAGUGAGGAAGAACGCCUGGUGGUUAAUACCCAUCAGGAAAGACAUCACUCACAGAAGAAGCACCGGCUAACUCCGUGCCAGCAGCCGCGGUAAUACGGAGGGUGCGAGCGUUAAUCGGAAUUACUGGGCGUAAAGCGCGCGUAGGUGGCUUGAUAAGCCGGUUGGGAAAGCCCCGGGCUCAACCUGGGAACGGCAUCCGGAACUGUCAAGCUAGAGUGCAGGAGAGGAAGGUAGAAUUCCCGGUGUAGCGGUGAAAUGCGUAGAGAUCGGGAGGAAUACCAGUGGCGAAGGCGGCCUUCUGGACUGACACUGACGCUGAGGUGCGAAAGCGUGGGUAGCACACAGGAUUCGAUACACUGGUAGUC
rnacentral:rRNA from 1 species